CUUAGGAAAAAAAAAAGGAAAGGAAGAAAUGUGCUUCAGUUCAUCACUACCAUAAGCUAGCCCUACCCUUCCUAAGCAAUCCCAAACAUCAACACACCCUCCACGAUCGCAGCUCUCCUCCAUGUACGACAGCAGUGCUCUCCUCCACGGGCGUCGGCGCGGUCAUCUUCUCCAUGGCGACGGUGCGGUGCGCUCCUCGUUUUGUGCCAAACCACCACCAUCAAGAAACCCCUCUCCCUUCUCUUCUCCUUCUUCUUCCUCUUCUUCCUCUGUCUCGCCUCCUCUUCUUCGCGAGCUCUGACAAUGCUACACGCAGCUGUAACCCCCCUCCUCCUCCUCUACGUAUUGGUUUUUCACUACUUUUCCACUGAGAAUCGACGAGUAAGCACGCCAAAUUGCUAGAAUCACGUCUAUGGU